CAGCAUCUAGUAUGCAUUAGUCAUUUGUCAGGCCAUCAUUCUCCCUUUUCAUAUUCCAUAAUUUACCCAGCCAUUCUCCAAUUGAUGGGCAUCCACUCAGUUUCCAGCUUCUAGCCACCACAAACAGGGCUGCCACAAACAUUCUUGUACAUACAAGUCCCUUUCCCUUCUUUAGUAUCUCUUUGGGAUAUAAGCCCAGUAGAAACACUGCUGGAUCAAAGGGUAUGCACAGUUUUGUAGCCCGUUGGGCAUAGUUCCAAAUUGCUCUCCAGAAUGGCUGGAUGUGUUCACAAUUCCACCAACAAUGUAUCAGUGUCCCAGUUUUCCCGCAUCCCCUCCAACAAUCAUCAUUGUCUUUUCCUGUCAUUUUAGCUAAUCUGACAGGUGUGGAGUGGUGUCUCAAGUUGUCUUAAUUUGCAUUUCUCUGAUCAAGAGUUAUUGGAGCACCUUUUCAUGUGGCUACAAAUAGCUUCAGUUUCUUCAUCUGACAAUUGUCUGUUCAUAUCCUUUGACCAUUUAUCAAGUGGAGAACAGCAUUCUCCCUUUUUCGCCAAAAAUCUGUUAGUGGAUGAUGUCUGGGCCAGAAACCAAAAAUAUUCAGGUUCUUGAACCAACUUGCUUGUAAUCUUAGUCAAUGUGCUACCCUUUUCUAGACUUUACUUGCUCCCUCUGUAAUUUGAAAUGCUUGGACAAAUGGUCUCAGAAGGCCAUUUCAGCCCUGACCUUCUAGGAUUCUGUAACUCCAAGUGAAUAGUUAUAUGACUUUGGCCAAGGCAUUGCUUCUCCUGGGUCCCAGGUUUCUCAUGUGAAAAAUGAAAGGGUUCUAUCAAAUUCCUUUUAGCUCUGACAUCCCACGUUCUAAGGGCCUUCCCAGCUCUGACAGACUAGUUUCUAAGCACCCUCCAACUCUGGCUUCCUCUGAAAAGUCAGAAAAUAGAGCCUUUUCUAGAUCUAGCAUUCUAUAUUUUAAGGUCUCUUUCAGUUCCAACAGGGUGUUUUCCAAAGUUCUAAUGAUACCCUUUGGGCUCCAUUCUGUAUCCCGAAGUCCCCUGGCUUUUUGGGCAAAGUGCUGAAUUUGGAGCCAAGAUCACUGGAAUCCUGUCUCCCAUUCUUCCCAGCUGUGUGAGCCUGACCAAAUCCCCACCUCUUGGGCCCUGCUUUUCUCAUUUCUGAAACCAAGAUUGCGAUAAGACCACAUCGAUAAAAAGCUUUGCAAACCUUAGAGACGACAGACAUGGUUAUGAUGAUGAUCAGCUGCUCUCCCCCCAGGAGUCAGUGAUGGUCCCUCCCAUGUGCUCAUGCCCCUCCCUCAGCUAUAUCUACCACUAUCUCUCUUCUGAGGCAAAAGCUUCUGGCAGGUCCAGCCUGGAGGAACAGCAGCUGUGCACAAAGACUCCAAGAUGAAGGCUUUCUUCCUCCUCCUCCUCCUUUGCCUUGGGGCCAUGAUUCAGAUCGAGGCCUCCACCAUGACACCAACAACCCCAGCAACGACGGGCCAGUCACCUCAGCUGUUCCAUGGACCCUUUACCUGGAGCAUCCUCCUCCUCACCGGAGUCCUCACUUACCUCCUUCAGCUACACUGAGGCCUGGGACCGAGACUGCAGCCCUGGCCCCUGAGAGCUCCCUCUUCUGGGCCCACCCUCCCAGCACCUGCAGCCCUCCUCAGCUGAACAUCCCAUGGCCUCCUGAGGAGCUCCCAUGCUCAGGAUAGCACCUGUCAGCCAGGGUCAGGGAUUGAUUUCGCUCCACACUCCAAGGGUUAUAGUGAUGAGAGAGCAAAGCACCGACCUGCUUGACUCAAUAAAGCCAUUAAAGCCUGA